GCUAACCCGGCGGGCGAGCGGAGAGGAGGACAGUCGUAACAAGGCAACUCCCAAACCCCGGUGAACAUACCUAUACGUUGCCUCGGCGGAUCAGCCCGCGCCCCGUAAAACGGGACGGCCCGCCCGAGGACCCCUAAACUCUGUUUUUAGUGGAACUUCUGAGUAAAACAAACAAAUAAAUCAAAACUUUCAACAACGGAUCUCUUGGUUCUGGCAUCGAUGAAGAACGCAGCAAAAUGCGAUAAGUAAUGUGAAUUGCAGAAUUCAGUGAAUCAUCGAAUCUUUGAACGCACAUUGCGCCCGCCAGUAUUCUGGCGGGCAUGCCUGUUCGAGCGUCAUUUCAACCCUCAAGCUCAGCUUGGUGUUGGGACUCGCGGUAACCCGCGUUCCCCAAAUCGAUUGGCGGUCACGUCGAGCUUCCAUAGCGUAGUAAUCAUACACCUCGUUACUGGUAAUCGUCGCGGCCACGCCGUAAAACGCCGACUUCUGAAUGUUGACCUCGGAUCAGGUAGGAAUACCCGCUGAACUUAAGCAUAUCAAUAAGCGGAGGACAUGCUCCGCUUAUUGAUAUGCCCUGUUACGACUUUUACUUCCACACCCCCCUUA
rnacentral:rRNA from 1 species